UACGUAGGGGGCAAGCGUUGUCCGGAAUUAUUGGGCGUAAAGAGCGUGUAGGCGGUCCGGUAAGUCAGCUGUGAAAGUCAAGGGCUCAACCCUUGAAAGCCGGUUGAUACUGUCGGGCUAGAGUCCGGAAGAGGCGAGUGGAAUUCCUGGUGUAGCGGUGAAAUGCGCAGAUAUCAGGAGGAACACCAAUUGCGAAGGCAGCUCGCUGGGACGUUACUGACGCUGAGACGCGAAAGCGUGGGGAGCAAACGGG
rnacentral:rRNA from 1 species